CUGCUGCCUCCCGUAGGAGUUUGGGCCGUGUCUCAGUCCCAAUGUGGCCGUCCACCCUCUCAGGCCGGCUACUGAUCGUCGCUUUGGUAGGCCGUUACCCUGCCAACUGGCUAAUCAGACGCGGGUCCAUCAUAUACCACCGGAGUUUUUCACACUGAGUCAUGCGACUCCGUGCGCUUAUGCGGUUUUAGCAGCAAUUUCUCGCUGUUAUCCCCCUGUAUAUGGCAGGUUACCCACGCGUUACUCACCCG
rnacentral:rRNA from 1 species